rnacentral:rRNA from 1 species
AACGCCCGCGGUAAUUCCAGCUCCAAUAGCGUAUAUUAAAGUUGUUGCAGUUAAAAAGCUCGUAGUUGAAUUUCGGGGUCAGUAGGUCGGUCGUGCCACUGGUAUGAACUGGUUUUACUGAUUCCUCCCUCUUGAAGAACUGUAAUGCCAUUAAUUUGGUGUUGCAGGGAAUCAGGACUGUUACUUUGAAAAAAUUAGAGUGUUUAAAGCAGGCUUUAGCUUGAAUACAUUAGCAUGGAAUAAUGAAAUAGGACGUUUGAUCCUAUUUUGUUGGUUUCUAGGAUUGACGUAAUGAUUAAUAGGGAUAGUUGGGGGCAUUAGUAUUCAAUUGUCAGAGGUGAAAUUCUUGGAUUUAUUGAAGACUAACUACUGCGAAAGCAUUUGCCAAGGAUGUUUUCAUUAAUCAAGAACGAAAGUUAGGGGAUCGAAGACGAUCAGAUACCGUCGUAGUCUUAACCAUAAACUAUGCCGACUAGGGAUCGGAUGAUGUUAAUUUUUUAAUGACUCA